UACAGAGGGUGCGAGCGUUGUCCGGAAUCACUGGGCGUAAAGGGCGCGUAGGCGGCCCGGUAAGGUUGCGGUGAAAGCCCGGGGCUCAACCCCGGGUCGGCCGUGGCAACUGCUGGGCUAGAGCACAGUAGAGGCGGGUGGAAUUCCGGGUGUAGCGGUGGAAUGCGUAGAUAUCGGGAAGAACACCCGUGGCGAAGGCGGCUCUCUGGGACGGUACUGACGCUGAGGCGCGAAAGCUAGGGGAGCAAACAGG
rnacentral:rRNA from 1 species